ACACGUCCAGGAAAGUGCUGAGGGUGCUAAGGAUGGGGAAGCUUUCCAAAGAGCACUCCGAUCUCGCGGGCUCAGGAGCCACGCAGUUCUCUCUGGUGGCGCCGGGGGGCGAUGUGGAGCAUCUCAUAGCGCGCCUACGCCCCCGAGGCUCAUGGGCGUUGUAGUUCCCAGGGCUGCGAGCUGUGCUGGCACGUAUCGUGGGAAGGCGAGGCCAGGUCCGGAGGGACGGUCCAGGCCUUCCUGAAGCAGAGGCAGCGGCCCCGGCGUGGAUGACUCCGGAACGUCUUGGCCCCGAACCAUUUGGAGUCCAGUCCGACCCGCCGGGCGGGUCUGGCGACAGAUCUGGCGGCCUUGUGUCGCAGCUAGAGAUAACAGAAUUUACAUGGGCUGGUUGGAAAAGAGGGGAUUUGUGUCAAGGUGGUAGGCAGCUUACAGAAUUGUGGGGUGGGCUGGAGAAAUGGAUCCUAAGCCAUAGGUCUGAUCUGACCUGAUAAGAAAACUGCUUCUACCGCCACCGCCACCAGACUCUAAAUGCCAGGACUUAGACUUGUCGGCAACAGCGACUGCUCAGGGUCCUGAAGCUACUUCUACAAGAAAGUGAUCUUUGGGACUUCCUGGUGGCCCAGUGGUUAAGAAUCUGACUUCCAGUGCAGGGGACUUGAGUUCAAUCCCUUGUUGGGGAACUAAGAUCCUACAUGCUGCAGGGCAACUGGGCCCAUGUGCUACAACUACUGAGCCAGUGGAGUGCUCUGGAGCCUGUAAGCCACAACAAGGAUCCCAUGUGCCACAACUAAGACCCGACACAGCCAUAAAUGAAUAAAUAUUUUAAAAAGAAGAAGGAGACGCCGAGGAGACAGACCACCUUCUGACUCUGGGAGUUGUUGUUCAGGAUGGGAAGCCUGGAACUACCACGCCCAUAAUGCUCCCCAUCCAUGGUGAAACCAAAAUCCAGAAGUGGGCAAAGCGAAGAGGAUCUUAGAAGCCUGGACUCUACAUAGUGUGAGAUGACAAGUAUCUUUAUUGUUUAAGCCAGAUGGUGUCAGAGUUGUCUGUUACUUGCAACCAAAUAUACCCUAACAGAUAAGUCUAC